CCCGGGUGGCAGUGGGAAGCCGUGCUGCGGAGCGAAAUAAAGUAGCGAAGUCCGUGAGCCAUGCGUCAAGAAAAGCCGCUAUCGUUUAUACCGUACCCGUACCGUAAACCGACACAGGUGGAUGAGGAGAGAAUCCUAAGGCCGGCGGAAGAAGCAUUGUCAAGGAACUCGGCAAAAUGGCCCCGUAACUUAGGGAUAAGGGGUGCCUGGGAAACCAGGCCGCAGAGAAUAGGCUCAAGCAACUGUUUAGCAAAAACACAGGUCUAUGCGAAACCGAAAGGUGAGGUAUAUGGGCUGACGCCUGCCCGGUGCUGGAAGGUUAAGAGGAGAGGUUAGCGGCAACGCGAAGCUUUGAAUUUAAGCCCCAGUAAACGGCGGCCGUAACAAUAACGGUCCUAAGGUAGCGAAAUUCCUUGUCGGGUAAGUUCCGACCCGCACGAAAGGCGUAAUGAUUUGAGCGCUGUCUCGACAAUGCAUCCGGUGAAAUUGAAGUACCAGUGAAGAUGCUGGUUACCUGCGCAGGACGGAAAGACCCCAUGGAGCUUUACUCCAGUCUGGUACUGGGACUCGGUAUUGCAUGUACAGGAUAGGUGGGAGGCUGAGAAAUGGUAACGCCAGUUGCCAUGGAGCCGCUGUUGGGAUACCACCCUUGCAGUAUUGGGUUUCUAACCAGCCGCCGUGACCCGGCGGUGGGACAAUGCCAGACGGGAGUUUGACUGGGGCGGUCGCCUCCGAAAGGGUAUCGGAGGCGCCCAAAGGUUCCCUCAGAAUGGACGGAAACCAUUCGAAGAGUGCAAAGGCAGAAGGGAGCUUGACUGCGACACUGACGGGUGGAGCAGGUACGAAAGUAGGGCUUAGUGAUCCGGUGGUAUUAAGUGGGAAUGCCAUCGCUCAACGGAUAAAAGCUACCCUGGGAUAACAGGCUUAUCACUCCCAAGAGUUCACAUCGACGGAGUGGUUUGGCACCUCGAUGUCGGCUCAUCGCAUCCUGGGGCUGUAGUAGGUCCCAAGGGUUGGGCUGUUCGCCCAUUAAAGCGGUACGCGAGCUGGGUUCAGAACGUCGUGAGACAGUUCGGUCCCUAUCCGGCGUGGGCGUAGGAUAUCUGAGAGGAGCUGUCCUUAGUACGAGGGGACCGGAUGGACGGGCCGCUGGUGCAUCGGUUAGACUGCCAAGUCUACGGCCGAGUAGCCAAGCCCGGAAGGGAUAAACGCUGAAGGCAUCUAAGCGUGAAGCCCCCCUUAAGAUGAGAUAUCCCAUUCGAAAGAAGUAAACCCCCUUGAAGACGACGAGGUAGAUAGGGCAGAGGUGGAAGUGCAGCAAUGCAUGGAGCUGACUGUUACUAAUCGGGUGAGGGCUUGACA
rnacentral:rRNA from 1 species